GCUAACGCCGUGGCUGGAAGCGGGGGAAAGGGGGGGGUGCAAGGGUUAAACGGAAGUACGGAGCGUAAAGCGAACGCAGGCGGUCUGUCAAGUAGGAUGUGAAAUCCCCGGGCUCAACCUGGGAACUGCAUUCGAAACUGGCAGGCGAGAGUCUUGUAGAGGGGGGUAGAAUUCCAGGUGUAGCGGUGAAAUGCGUAGAGAUCUGGAGGAAUACCGGUGGCGAAGGCGGCCCCCUGGACAAAGACUGACGCUCAGGUGCGAAAGCGUGGGGAGCAAACAGGAUUAGAUACCCAAGUAGUC
rnacentral:rRNA from 1 species